AUUGAACGCUCGCGGGAUGCUUUACACAUGCAAGUCGAACGAGUCGCGGCCGGGUGAGUAAUAUAUCGGCACGUGCCCAGUAGCGGGGGAUAACUACUCGUAACCGUAGCUCAUACCGCCCACUAUGGGCGCGUCCGUCAUCGGAUUAGCUAGUUGGUGGGGUAAAGGCCCACAAAGGCAACGAGCCGUAGCUGGUUUGCGAGGCCGACCUGCCACCCUGGGACUGAGACACGGCCCCGACUCCUACGGGAGGCAGCAGUGGGGAAUGUUGGACAAUGGGGGAAACCCUGAUCCAGCCAUCCCGCGUGUGUGAGAAGGCCUUCGGGUUGUAAAGUACUGUUGGCAGAGAAGCGGUAUCUGCAGAAUAAGAACCGGCUAACUACGGGCCAGCAGCCGCGGUAAUUC
rnacentral:rRNA from 1 species